rnacentral:rRNA from 1 species
GGUUUGAUUCUGGCUCAGAUUGAACGCUGGCGGGAUGCUACAUGCAAGUCGAACGCUUGGCACAGACUUCGGUCUGGUGGCGAGUGGCGAACGGGUGAGUAAUGUAUCGGAACGUACUAGUAGCGGGGGAUAACUACGCGGCGUAGCUAAUACCGCAUACGCCCUUCGGGGGAAAGCGGGGACAACAGACUCCGCACUAUUAAACGGCCGAUAUCGGAUUAGCUAGUUGGUGGGGGUAACGGCUCACCAAGGCGACGAUCGUAGCUGGUUUGAGAGGACGACCAGCCACACUGGGACUGAGACACGGCCCAGACUCCUACGGGAGGCAGCAGUGGGGAAUUUUGGACAAUGGGGGAAACCUGAUCCAGCCAUCCCGCGUGUGCGAUGAAGGCCUUCAGGUUGUAAAGCACUUUUGGCAGGAAAGAAACGGCACGGGAUAUUACCCAUUAAACUGACGGUACCUGCAGAAUAAGCACCGGCUAACUACGUGCCAGCAGCCGCGGUAAUACGUAGGGUGCAAGCGUUAAUCGGAAUUACUGGGCGUAAAGCGUGCGCGAGCGGUUCGGAAAGAAAGAUGUAGAAAUCCCAGAGCUUAACUUUGGAACUGCAUUUUUAACUACCGAGCUAGAGUGUGUCAGAGAGGGAGGUGGAAUUCCGCGUGUAGCAGUGAAAUGCGUAGAUAUGCGGAGGAACACCGAUGGCGAAGGCAGCCUCCUGGGAUAACACUGACGCUCGUACACGAAAGCGUGGGGAGGCAAACAGGAUUAGAUACCCUGGUAGUCCACGCCCUAAACGAUGUCAACUAGCUGUUGGGGCCUUCGGGCCUUGGUAGCGCAGCUAACGCGUGAAGUUGACCGCCUGGGGAGUACGGUCGCAAGAUUAAAACUCAAAGGAAUUGACGGGGACCCGCACAAGCGGUGGAUGAUGUGGAUUAAUUCGAUGCAGCGCGAAAAACCUUACCUACCCUUGACAUGUCUGGAAUCCCGAAGAGAUUUGGGAGUGCUCGCAAGAGAACCGGAACACAGGUGCUGCAUGACUGUCGUCAGCUCGUGUCGUGAGAUGUUGGGUUAAGUCCCGCAACGAGCGCAACCCUUGUCAUUAGUUGCUACGAAAGAGGGCACUCUAAUGAGACUGCCGGUGACAAACCGGAGGAAGGUGGGGAUGACGUCAAGUCCUCAUGGCCCAUAUGGGUAGGGCUUCACACGUCAUACAAUGGUCGGGACAGAGGGUCGCCAACCCGCGAGGGGAGCCAAUCCCAGAAACCCGAUCGUAGUCCGGAUCGCAGUCUGCAACUCGACUGCGUGAAGUCGGAAUCGCUAGUAAUCGCGGAUCAGCAUGUCGCGGUGAAUACGUUCCCGGGUCUAUGCACACCGCCCGUCACACCAUGGGAGUGGGUUUUACCAGAAGUAGUUAGCCUAACCGUAAGGAGGGCGAUUACCACGGUAGGAUUCAUGACUGGGGUGAAGUCGUAACAAGAGUAGCUCUGUUACU